GAUGAACGCUGGCGGCGUGCCUAAUACAUGCAAGUCGAGCGAACAGACGAGGAGCUUGCUCCUCUGACGUUAGCGGCGGACGGGUGAGUAACACGUGGAUAACCUACCUAUAAGACUGGGAUAACUUCGGGAAACCGGAGCUAAUACCGGAUAAUAUAUUGAACCGCAUGGUUCAAUAGUGAAAGACGGUUUUGCUGUCGCUUAUAGAUGGAUCCGCGCCGCAUUAGCUAGUUGGUAAGGUAACGGCUUACCAAGGCAACGAUGCGUAGCCAACCUGAGAGGGUGAUCGGCCACACUGGAACUGAGACACGGUCCAGACUCCUACGGGAGGCAGCAGUAGGGAAUCUUCCGCAAUGGGCGAAAGCCUGACGGAGCAACGCCGCGUGAGUGAUGAAGGUCUUCGGAUCGUAAAACUCUGUUAUUAGGGAAGAACAAAUGUGUAAGUAACUAUGCACGUCUUGACGGUACCUAAUCAGAAAGCCACGGCUAACUACGUG
rnacentral:rRNA from 1 species